rnacentral:rRNA from 1 species
UACAGAGGUGGCAAGCGUUGUUCGGAAUUACUGGGCGUAAAGGGCGCGUAGGCGGUCCUGUAAGUCCCGCGUGAAAUCCCCCGGCUCAACUGGGGACUGCGCGGGAAACUGUGGGGCUUGAGUUCGGGAGAGGGAAGCGGAAUUCCGGGUGUAGCGGUGAAAUGCGUAGAUAUCCGGAGGAACACCGGUGGCGAAGGCGGCGUUCCUGG